rnacentral:rRNA from 1 species
GCAGUCGACGAGCGAGAGAGAGCUUGCUUUCUCGAGCGAGUGGCGAACGGGUGAGUAACGCGUGAGGAACCUGCCUCAAAGAGGGGGACAACAGUUGGAAACGACUGCUAAUACCGCAUAAGCCCACGGUGCCGCAUGGUACAGAGGGAAAAGGAGCAAUCCGCUUUGAGAUGGCCUCGCGUCCGAUUAGCUAGUUGGUGAGGUAAUGGCCCACCAAGGCAACGAUCGGUAGCCGGACUGAGAGGUUGAACGGCCACAUUGGGACUGAGACACGGCCCAGACUCCUACGGGAGGCAGCAGUGGGGAAUAUUGCACAAUGGGGGAAACCCUGAUGCAGCGACGCCGCGUGGAGGAAGAAGGUCUUCGGAUUGUAAACUCCUGUUGUUGGGGAAGAUAAUGACGGUACCCAACAAGGAAGUGACGGCUAACUACGUGCC